ensembl:processed_transcript
AAGCAAAUGCUGACUAAUGUGAAGAUCUUAUUAGCUCUAUCUGAUGCUGGGCUUGCUUGGCAUUUAUUAUGGGGCAAGCUCAAUCUGUUGACUGCAUUAAAAAGCUCUUAAUAUUUUUUAGGUGGAGUUUAAUAAGGCUGGACAGACAGUUUUGAAAACACAAAUGGUUUGAAUAAAGAAAGGUAUUACACAUGGAUCCCCUCAGUUGAAGGCACUGAUGGGUCUUUCUGAAUUUCUGGUCCUUCUGAAUUUCAAGGGCUCCUGUGACAAGUAGACAUGGCAGUGACUUCACCAUUUUGUUUCUGAGGUGCCUGGAUGGAGACUCAAAUAGAAGAUGGUGUCAGAUACAUUGUGUUGUCAAGAUUUUACCAUUAAAGUGUGUUAUAAACAUGAA